UCUGUAGCUCAGUUGGUAGAGCAGAGGACUGAAAAUCCUCGUGUCGUUGGUUCGAUUCCGACCGG
rnacentral:tRNA from 2 species